ACAACUUUGCUAACGUAACAGACAUAAAUAAAGGCAUCAACACGUGUUAAGUUGAAGAAAAAACUAUUGAAAAAUACUAAAUUCAAGUUCAAUAACUUUGUGAUAAUUGUGUUAAUACCGUAAAUACAUAAAAAACCAAACAUCCAAAUGGGUCGCACAAAUAGAUCGCGUAAACGUCGCGAAGAAAAUAGCAAAGCCAAAAAGGCACGCUAUGAAGUCAAAGAAUUGGCCCGGCUGAAGAAAACUUUGGGCAUCAUGGACACAGAUGAGCAAAUGAAGGACCUAGAGGAGGUGGCCACCAUUAAAACAGCAAAGGAAUUGAAAAUCGAAAAGAAAACCAAAGAGGAGGAACAACUCGAGUUCGAAUUGCAAGAGGAACGCGAGCAGGGUCAAAGUGUCACAGUUGUUAACGAAAAAACUGGCAAGACACAUGUUUACAAUACAAAAACUCUUAAAGAUCAACAUGGCUCUUAUCCACCUUGGUUCAAACCCAAAAAGACAGCCAAACGUAUGCGCAAGAGGGAUCAUGCCCGCAAAAUGAAAUUCAAGCAAGCCUGGACAGUAACAAAUGUCCCCCUAUAGACCACAAAGAAAGUUCAACGUUUUAUUUGUUAAGAAGCUGUGAAUAGUGAAAAUAGUUUAUUUGAAAUGCAUAGACUCAUGAAAAACACCAUUUACCCAAUCAGACAUAAAACACAUUAGGAUCAUAUUCAUCCAAACAUUAUCAUCAAACAAUACCAUCAUGCGAGCAAGAAUUCAAUGAGGGUAAGUUAAUAUGUAUGUCCAAUUACUUGCAAACUACAAAACUAUGCUGGCACAGAAGUUUCUCAUUGAAUGUCUUUGCGGCAAAUGUGGCCUAAAAUCCCAAU